GCCCAGGUAGCUCAGUCGGUAGAGCAAAGGACUGAAAAUCCUUGUGUCGACAGUUCGAUUCUGUCCCUGGGCACCA
rnacentral:tRNA from 3 species